CUACGGGUUGCUCCAGUGGGGAAUAUUGCACAAUGGGGGAAACCCUGAUGCAGCGACGCCGCGUGAGCGAUGAAGCCCUUCGGGGUGUAAAGCUCUUUCGGCAGGGACGAUUAUGACGGUACCUGCAGAAGCAGCUGCGGCUAACUACGUGCCAGCAGCCGCGGUAAUACGUAGGCAGCAAGCGUUGUUCGGAAUUACUGGGCGUAAAGGGUGCGUAGGCGGCUUUUUAAGUUUGGUGUGAAAUCUCCCGGCUCAACUGGGAGGGUGCGCCGAAUACUGAGAGGCUAGAGUGUGGGAGAGGAAAGUGGAAUUCCUGGUGUAGCGGUGAAAUGCGUAGAUAUCAGGAGGAACACCGGUGGUGUAAACGGCUUUCUGGACCAUAACUGACGCUGAGGCACGAAAGCGUGGGUAGCAAACAGGAUUAGGUACCCCCGUAGUC
rnacentral:rRNA from 1 species